UUCCCCCCCGCCCCACCCCCGCCGACCUCCCACUGUCGCUGCUGGAGGAAGAGCCCCGGGAGGAGAAGGGUGCGCCGCGCCGCGCCCGCGUGUCAAUGGCAGCCGCGCAUUCUGGAAGAAUUUCCGAACCAAACGCACCCUCGCCAGCCCCGGGAAGAAAGGCCCAAGGGAGAAACCUGGGGCGCUCGGCUGGUGCCCCCACCGCCGGGCGAGGGAUGCGGGCGGUCCGUGCGCGGCAGGCGGAAAGGAUCGUGUUUCUGGACCCGGCCACCCCCCGCGUCCGCACCGCCGCCCCCGAGGGACGAGUGACAGCGGCCGC
rnacentral:lncRNA from 1 species